rnacentral:rRNA from 1 species
UACGGGGGGGGCAAGCGUUGUUCGGAAUUACUGGGCGUAAAGGGCUCGUAGGCGGCCAACUAAGUCGGAUGUGAAAUCCCCAGGCUUAACCUGGGAACUGCAUCCGAUACUGGAUGGCUUGAAUCCGGGAGAGGGAUGCGGAAUUCCAGGUGUAGCGGUGAAAUGCGCAGAUAUCAGGAGGAACACCAAUUGCGAAGGCAGCUCGCUGGGACGUAACUGACGCUGAGACGCGAAAGCGUGGGGAGCAAACAGG